rnacentral:snRNA from 10 species
GUGCUCGCUUCGGUAGUGCAUAGACUAAAACUGGAACGACACAGAGAAGAUGAGCAGGGCACCUAAUUUUAAAAAUGCUAACGAAAAUGUU